rnacentral:rRNA from 1 species
UACGAAGGGGGCUAGCGUUGUUCGGAAUUACUGGGCGUAAAGGGCACGUAGGCGGAUUGCUAAGUCAGGGGUGAAAUCCCGGGGCUCAACCGAGGAACUGCGUUUGAUACUGGCAAUCUCGAGUCCGGAAGAGGGGAGUGGAAUUCCUAGUGUAGAGGUGAAAUUCGUAGAUAUUAGGAAGAACACCAGUGGCGAAGGCGGCCAUCUGGUCCGGUACUGACGCUAAGGCGCGACAGCGUGGGGAGCAAACGGG